rnacentral:rRNA from 1 species
UCGAGAAUCUUCGGCAAUGGGCGCAAGCCUGACCGAGCGACGCCGCGUGCGGGAUGAAGGCCUUCGGGUUGUAAACCGCUGUCAGUGGGGAGGAAAUCACGGGGGGUUCUCCCCUCGUGUUGACCUAUCCGCAGAGGAAGGACGGGCUAAGUUCGUGCCAGCAGCCGCGGUAAGACGAACCGUCCAAACGUUAUUCGGAAUUACUGGGCUUAAAGGGUGUGUAGGCGGCCGCGAAAGUUGGGUGUGAAAGCCCUCGGCUCAACCGAGGAAUGGCGCCCAAAACUACGCAGGCUCGAGGGAGACAGAGGUGAGCGGAACUUCGGGUGGAGCGGUGAAAUGCGUUGAUAUCCGAAGGAACACCGGUGGCGAAAGCGGCUCACUGGGUCUCUACUGACGCUGAGACACGAAAGCUAGGGGAGCGAACAG